rfam:Synechococcus sp. RS9917 scf_1099465004208 genomic scaffold, whole genome shotgun sequence.
UGGCAGGGCAUCCCUGCCCUUCCGUAACUGCUCUUCGGAGUU